CCUGGCCCCCAAUGGCUCCGUGGCUGUGGCCGCCGCCUACCAAGGCCGGCUCAACGUGGACCCCCACGGGGGGGCACUCACCAUUGCCCGUGUCACCCUCCAGGAUGCCGGUACCUACACAGUCGAGGUCUUCCCGCUGGGGGGCCAGCUGUGGAGGGGGGAGGUGCAGGUGGAGGUGUAUGAAAAGGUAGGGAACGUCUUGGUGACGCCCACUUCGCUGGAGGUGACAGAAGGCGCCGAGCCGGCAGUUCUGACCUGCGCCCCCAUACGGGGCACCGUCACCUGGACCAAGGAUGGACAAAACCUGGCCCAGAACCCCCGCUACCAGGUCUCGCCUGGGACUCUCCAGAUCAAUCAGCCUGACCGGAGCGACAGCGGCACCUACAGCUGCACUGUGUCCAACCCGUUCAGCCACGGGACCAGCGCCGCCUUGAUCCAGGUCUAUUACGGGCCAGAGCCCCCCACAAUCAGCAUCUCCUCAGACGGCAACCCGGAGCCCCGGCGCUACGUCCGGGUGAACAGCACGGUGGUGCUGGGCUGCCGGGCCCCGUCGAACCCACCUGCCGAGAUCUACUGGAACCUGGCGGAUGCCAGCGACCCCCC